UACGAAGGGGGCUAGCGUUGUUCGGAAUUACUGGGCGUAAAGGGCGCGUAGGCGGUGUGUCAAGUCAGGCGUGAAAGCCCCGGGCUCAACCUGGGAACAGCGCUUGAGACUGGCACGCUCGAGUUCGGGAGAGGAUGGUGGAAUUCCCAGUGUAGAGGUGAAAUUCGUAGAUAUUGGGAAGAACACCGAUGGCGAAGGCAGCCAUCUGGACCGACACUGACGCUGAGGCGCGAAAGCUAGGGGAGCGAACGGG
rnacentral:rRNA from 1 species